rnacentral:tRNA from 1 species
GAUACCAUGGCGUAGUGGUCACUGCGCUCGCCUUGCACGCGGGAGACCCGGGUUCAAUUCUCAGCGGGGUCA